UACAGAGGUCUCAAGCGUUGUUCGGAUUCAUUGGGCGUAAAGGGUGCGUAGGCGGCGCGGUAAGUCGGGUGUGAAAUUCGAGGCUUAACUCCGAAACUGCAUUCGAUACUGCGGUGCUUGAGGACUGGAGAGGAGACUGGAAUUAUGGUGUAGCAGUGAAAUGCGUAGAGAUCAUGAGGAAGACCAGUGGCGAAGGCGGGUCUC
rnacentral:rRNA from 1 species